GUGUGGAAGACAGGUGUGUUUAUGUUACUGAUGUCACACACUCGGCCUUGUGUGACAGGCUUGUGUGUGUAUGUUACUGAUGUCACACACUGGGCUUUGUGUGACGGACAGGUGUGUGUAUGUUACUGAUGUCACAUACUGGGCCUUGUGUGACAGACAGUUGUGGGUAUGUUACUGAUGUCACACACUGGGCCUUGUGUGACAGACAGGUGUGGGUAUGUUACUGAUGUCACACACUCGGCCUUGUGUGACAGGCAUGUGUGUGUAUGUUACUGACGUCACACACUGGGCUUUGUGUGACGGACAGGUGUGUGUAUGUUACUGAUGUCACAUACUGGGCCUUGUGUGACAGACAGUUGUGGGUAUGUUACUGAUGUCACACACUGGGCCUUGUGUGACAGACAGGUGUGGGUAUGUUACUGAUGUCACACACUGGGCCUUGUGUAACAGACAGGUGUGGGUAUAUUACUGAUGUCACACACUCGGCCUUGUGUGACAGGCAGGUGUGGGUAUGUUGCUGAUGUCACACACUGGGCCUUGUGUGACAUACGGGUGUGUGUAUGUUACUGAUGUCACACACUGGGCUUUGUGUGACAGACAGGUGUGGGUAUGUUACUGAUGUCACACACUCGGCCUUGUGUGACAUACGGGUGUGUGUAUGUUACUGAUGUCACAUACUGGGCUUUGUGUGGAAGACAGGUGUGUUUAUGUUACUGAUGUCACACACUCGGCCUUGUGUGACAGGCAUGUGUGUGUAUGUUACUGACGUCACACACUGGGCUUUGUGUGACGGACAGGUGUGUGUAUGUUACGGAUGUCACAUACUGGGCCUUGUGUGACAGACAGUUGUGGGUAUGUUACUGAUGUCACACACUGGGCCUUGUGUGACAGACAGGUGUGGGUAUGUUACUGAUGUCACACACUCGGCCUUGUGUGACAGGCAUGUGUGUGUAUGUUACUGACGUCACACACUGGGCUUUGUGUGACGGACAGGUGUGUGUAUGUUACUGAUGUCACACACUGGGCCUUGUGUGACAGACAGUUGUGGGUAUGUUACUGAUGUCACACACUGGGCCUUGUGUGACAGACAGGUGUGGGUAUGUUGCUGAUGUCACACACUCGGCCUUGUGUGACAGGCAGGUGUGGGUAUGUUACUGAUGUCACACACUGGGCCUUGUGUGACAUGCAGGUGUGUGUAUGUUACUGAUGUCACACACUGGGCCUUGUGUGACAGACAGGUGUGGGUAUGUUACUGAUGUCACACACUCGGCCUUGUGUGACAGACAUGUGUGUGCUGGAUACUGACGUCACACACUGGGCCUUGUGUGACAGACAGGUAUGUGUUGAUUACUAAUGUCACACACUGGGCUUUGUCUGACAGGCAUGUGUGUGUUGGUUACUGACGUCACACACUGAGCCUUGUGUGACAGACAGGUAUGUGUUGAUUACUAAUGUCACACACUGGGCUUUGUCUGACAGGCAUGUGUGUGUUGGUUACUGACGUCACACACUGAGCCUUGUGUGACAGACAGGUAUGUGUUGAUUACUAAUGUCACACACUGGGCUUUGUGUGACAGACAGGUGUACGUUGGUUACUAACGCCACACUCUGGGCUUCAUGUGAUAGACAGAUAUGUGUUAGUUAUUGAUGUCACACUGGGAUUUGUGUGAUAGACAGGUGUGUGUUGGUUAUUGAUGUCACACUGGGAUUUGCGUGAUAGACAGGUGUGUGUUGGUUAUUGAUGUCACACUGGGAUUUGUGUGAUAGUCAGGUGUGUGUUGGUUAUUGAUGUCACACUGGGAUUUGUGUGAUAGACAGGUGUGUGUUGGUUAUUGAUGUCACACUCUGACUUUCAAUACAGAUAGGUGUGUUUUGGUUACUGAUGGUGGAGUAAAUUAGCUAAUACAUUUACACACUCAUUAGGGUCAAUAUUUGUUCUAUACACAUGUAGAUGUACCAAGGUAUGUCAUUUUCACUGUAAAUACUGUAGUCGAACAACCAAAACAAAACACAUAUUUCACUGAAACAAUGUUUGAAGUAUAAGGAACUGAUUGUUUAACAUUUGUAAAUGUAUCAUGAAGUUUAUGAAGGUAGAAUGUACCCUGUUGUAUGCAGCAAAACAUAAAUGUAUUUUCAUGUGUGUGUUUUUUUCCUGUUUUUCUAUAACAUGUGACCAACGAUUGGAAACAAAUUAAAUAACACUGAAAACAAAUGCAAUAAUGUGUAUAUGAUCCUAGAAUUUGCGUGACAGGGAAUUUCUCUCAGGAUUCUGAUCAGAUUUAUUGAUAUGGCUUUCAUGGAAGCAGUCGAAAAUGCCAUUUUUAACAUAUCUGAAUUUUAUGAGAUUGGGCGUAAUUUGUUAUGUUACAUUUGUAACAUACUUGGCAAAAUACUUUGUUUGUAUUAGUAUUAGUUUUUUAAUAUGUAAGUUUAUCCCUCUACCCAGACAAGUAUCAACUCACAACUGGAGUUCAUACAUGAAUAUAUGGUUAGAUAACCAUUGUGUAGAAACUUAUGUUUUUUUUGCUUUUGCUUGCUUGUAUUUGAAUUCGGAAUUUUGUAAAUAUAUACAGUAUUAGAAAUAAUCCAGACUCAUUCAGGUUGUCUAGAGAGCGGCAAUUGUUUUCUUAGGCUCAACCACGUGAUACAUCCUGUACAUCCAACAGGUUAGUUUCCACAGUGUUAAACAUUUUCCCCAUUCUCAGAUCUGUGUGACAAAGCAAACAGGCCUAAGUUCCUAUUUAACCACCCCAAUAAGAGGGAAUGAUAUAAUUACACCAGUGCUUAUGACUUCCUGAUUAAGGUAGCUGGAGACAUGGCUGUUUCAUCUUUUUAGUUGUACUGUAGUGCUGUUUUCACUAAAUGGAAGUGAUGUAAUUACACCAGUGCUUAUGACUUUCUUAUUAAAGUAGCUAGAGGCAUGUAUGUUUCAAUUUUCUAGUUGCACUGUAUUCUUGUUUUC
rnacentral:lncRNA from 1 species